AACUUGCUCUUCUUUUCCUUUAGUUACACCACAGUUGUUAUGUAGUUAAAGUUCUUUUAUAAUUGGUUGUUGCAUAUUUAAGGUUGACAUUAGCCUUUUAUUGCAUGUUGGUAUGUUGUAUUCAUUUUAAUUACCACAGUUGUAUUCAUCUUGAUGUAUAUAGAAUUUUGUACUUUCAACUUGGAAAUCAACUCUCACAUUAUAUCAACUAAUUGAUUUGGUCUACGCAAAUAGGAAGGAGGUGAAAGCGAAGUUUAGUCCCGAUAAAGAAACUAUCGAAUUCACUUAUCGACUCAAGGGGAACAUAGGGAGGAAGAAGUCAAUGUUGUACAAUAACAACUUGAACGUUGGAAGUGAUGAUUUAAAGCUUACUAUGCGGUCGAAAAUGAGUCACUUGGAAGACAAUUUCCAAUAGUCUUUUGGAGCGAGUUAAGGAUGACUGUGGGUCAAAAUAUUGGGAUGAAAAGGUUGUAACAACUCCUCCAAAUAGCCUAAACUAGGAAUUAAUGUUAUUUAAUAUUAAAAUUUACUUUAGUAGUAUGUAAAGGCAGAAGGCAGAAUUUUCUAUUAAGUUAUGUGAUUAUGUACUCUCUUAAGUGUAUUCCUAAGUUUAAGAAGCAUAUGCAUGAUUAUGCUGCACAUCCUGAAGAGAUAAUUGUUGCUUUCUAUGGGUUAUCCAAAGCAACAAAGAUCCCAGUCAAUGACACAAAAACUGUUGAAUCAGAG